rnacentral:rRNA from 1 species
GACGAACGCUGGCGGCGUGCUUAACACAUGCAAGUCGAACGCUGAAGCACCAGCUUGCUGGUGUGGAUGAGUGGCGAACGGGUGAGUAAUACGUGAGUAACCUGCCCUUGACUCUGGGAUAAGCGCGGGCAACUGGGUCUAAUACUUGCUGCUACAUGUCACCGCAUGGUGGUGUGUGGAAAGGGUUUACUGGUCUUGGGUGGGCUCACGGCCUAUCAGCUUGUUGGUGAGGUAAUGGCUCACCAAGGCGACGACGGGUAGCCGGCCAGAGAGGGUGACCGGCCACACUGAGACUGAGACACGGCCCAGACGCCGACUGGAGGAAGCAGUGGGGAAUAUUGCACAAUGGGCGAAAGCCGGAUGCAGCGACGCCGCGGGAGGGAUGACGGCCUUCGGGUUGUAAACCUCUUUCAGCAGGGAAGAAGCCACAAGUGACGGUACCUGCAGAAGAAGCGCCGGCUAACUACGUG